rnacentral:lncRNA from 1 species
UGGAUGCACCCCGCUUCUCCCAGUAAGUGUAUAUUAUGCAAGUAAUCGUGCAAAAUAAGUAUGCUGUACUUUUUAAUCGUGUAAUUGUGUGAACUAUAGUGUAAUAUUGUGCUAAGUUAUAGUGUAAUCGUGCAAAAUAAGUUGUUGUAUGCUUCAAUCGUGUAAUUGUCUGAACUAUAGUGUAAUAUUGUGUUGAUUAGUAGUGUAAUAUUAUCUUUGCAAUCAGGUGUGGAUAUACAAGCACACUGGGUACAGAUG